GACGAACGCUGGCGGCGUGCUUAACACAUGCAAGUCGAACGGAAAGGCCCUGCUUUUGUGGGGUGCUCGAGUGGCGAACGGGUGAGUAACACGUGAGUAACCUGCCCUUGACUUUGGGAUAACUUCAGGAAACUGGGGCUAAUACCGGAUAGGAGCUCCUGCUGCAUGGUGGGGGUUGGAAAGUUUCGGCGGUUGGGGAUGGACUCGCGGCUUAUCAGCUUGUUGGUGGGGUAGUGGCUUACCAAGGCUUUGACGGGUAGCCGGCCUGAGAGGGUGACCGGCAAAAUGGGGAUGGAGAAAGGGCCGAGCCCCCUCCGGGAGGCAGCAGGGGGGAUGUUGGAAAACGGGGGGGAGGCUUGACGCAGCACCGCCGGGUGCGGGAUGAGGGCUUUCGGGUGUUAACCCGUUUCCGCCGGUGAGGAAGCGUGGGUGAGGGUAGGGGGUAAAGAGGCCCGGACUAGCUCGGUA
rnacentral:rRNA from 1 species